GAAGAUUUUGUCUCCUUAAAACUGAUGCUCUGCAUUUGUUUCUCAUUUGGACAUGUAUAAUAUAGCAGUGUCUUUUCUCCGGAUGCCGAGAAUACCAAAUCUGUAGAUGUAGAGUCAUUCAUCUAUAUCGCAAGAAGCAGAGAAAGAAACCAAUUGUCCUUAAACAGAAAAAAAACUAUAAUUUAAGGAGUAAAUUAUAAAGGAGGCUACUCUGGUUAGGGAGAGUAUUUACAGUAAGGAAACAGAAAAGCAGACUUUCUAUUUGAAAAUUAAAACAGAUAUCGAGAAAAAUAAUUUUAAUGUGACAAUUGAGGAAAUAAUAUAUACCACAAGUGGUACUUUGAAAGCCUCAAAUUCAUGCUGAUUUCUAAAGUAAGUGCAGACUUGAAAACAUGAUUAGGGCAACUUAAAAAAAAAUUAAGACUCUAAUGUAAACAAAACACUUUAAAUAGUUGAUAUAUAUUUCCUGAUUUAAUAUUCGUAACUACCUGGUGAGUUGGCAAUACUAUCUCUAUUUUAUAGGAAGGAAACUACAUGUCAGAGAUGUUCUGACCUCAGUGUCAAAUAUUCAAUCCAUGUCUGUCUGAUUUCAAACUUGUGUUUUUUUCUAUCAUACCCUGUUACCUCUGAAUAAAAAUAGAACUGAAUGACUAAGAAUUAGAAUAAUGAGCAUUUUUGGAACUAGAAACAACAUCGAAACCAUUUGUUUGGUUCCACUAUUGUACAGAUAAGAAAUUGGGGUCCUGGGUCCCAGAAAAUCUGUGAUUUGUGCAAAGUUCCAGAGUUGUUUGAUAGUGGGGUCGCUUUGAGAACUGGGCAUUCAAUUCCUAGUUUAGGUCUUUCUACCACAUUAUGCCUGAGGUGAAGCUGAGCAUCUGGUUUACAUUUUUAUAUCUCUAAAGGAGCAAAAAAGAAAAAGAAAAAGAAAAAAAGGACCUGUUCAAAUAGUGGUGCAAGCCAGGCAGGGCAUGAUGGAUACCUGUGUGGUCCCAGCUACUUGGGAGACUGAGGCAGGAGGAUGCUUGAGCCGGAGUUGGAAGCUGCAGUGAGCUAUGAUGGCGCCACUACACUCUAUCCUGAGCAGCAGAGCCAGACCCUGUCUCUAAAAAAAGAAAGAAAGAAAGAAAGGAAAGAAAAAAAGAAAAAUAAAAAAUAUAGAAGCAACAAGUAUAGAUUUACAUUCCAUUAGACAGUGACCCAUUAGACCUGGACACGGGCCUUAAACCAAAUACUGUGGCUCAAGCUUUAGCCCUGAAGGAACCCAGAAUGGAAGGAACACAUCAUAGCUCUCUUAGGUUAACGACUGGCAUCCCAAACAGAUUUCUUUUUAGCAAGAAAGAUAGCCACAGUGCUUGGAGAUUGGGAAUGUGAGUUUUCUUUCAAGGACAAAUGAUGGAGACCGUUGGAAGAACUUAUUUUUAAGCCCAGUGCUGUGCUCUCCAGGAUGGCUGCUGAUGAGGUGACUCAGUUUACCCAUUGGAGUCAUCUGUCCUGAUGAAAUGUACAUCUUAUGCAAGGUCAUGUUUAUGUUAGAGCCUUUGCUGACUUUUUCUUGUUUCUAUGUUGCACUUUCACCUAUUAAAAGCAAAUAAAAAGAAAGGCUCUGACCUAAGAUUUUAACGUGAUAAUAUAGCUAAGCAAGAGUACCUUUUUCCUUCCCAGGUUGAGCUCAGGUAAACAGGGCUUUAAGUUCUGAAUUCGGAAAAGACAAACAUAAAGUUAAUCCUGUUGUCCCAGACACAUACUUACCUUGCAGGAACGUAGCACUUUCUACGUCAUAAUCUUGAUUACAUUAACACCCGGUAAUUAGAACAUUUUAUUCUCAUGCUCUUUUAAACCCCAAUUGGUUGAACUUACGAAUACUUAACAUUUAUGUAUCACUAUGAAGGUGAGAAAUGCAAGAUGAUUGGAAUUUAAAGUAAGUCAGUUUUAAAUAUAAGUAUGUAUAUCUAUAAGUCUACUCCCCCUUCUUAGUCCGUUUGGGCUGCUGUAAGAAAACACCAUAGGCUAGGUGGCUUAUAAACAACAGAAAUUUAUUUCUCACAGUUCUGCAGGUUGGGAAGUUCAAGAUCAAGGCAUCAACAGAUUUUGUGACUGGUGAGGGCCUGCUUCCUGGUUCAUAGACAGCACGUUCUGCAUCUUCACAUGGCAAAAAGGGCAAACAAAAUCUUGCCAUCACAUUGGGGGUUGAGAUUUCAAUAUAUGAAUUUUGGGGGCUAUAAACAUUCAGACCAUAGCACCCCCCAUCAUUAUUUUAGUUUUAGCCAUUAAAAUGCUGUUGUUUCUGAAAUUCAAGGGCAGAAAUGAAAGAAUUCAGAGAUGCCAGAGAAUGAUGUAUGGUGAAUAUUUUACACAGCCUCAUGUAAUGCUUUGUGCAGGUAACUCUUAUAAGCACUUUUCUUGCCAUGCUUAUGUGGUGCCAGCUUUGGGAUUUCACAUGAAUAUGGAAAAUUACUCAGAAUUGGACUUAACAGAGUUAGUGAAGUCUUUAUUGUUCUUAUAAAUUGAACAUGGAAAAAUAGAUUGAGAAUACUGUAAGAAUUUAAUGUGUUUCAAGUUGCGUGCAUGGAAUUUCUGGAUUUACUUAGUUUGUGUAUAUAGAAAGUGCAAAAAGACAGUAUUCCUCUAGAGAUUUCCUUUAAAAAAAGAUUAAAAGCAGAGAGUCUUAAUUAUUUUUUUCUCUAGGCUUACAGGAAUUUUCUUGUGAUUAGUUACUAGGAAGCUCUGUAUUACCAGAUUUGGAGAAUUGGAAUAUAGUUUUUUAGGGCAGGUGUGGUGGCCUAUGCCUGUAAUCCCAACACUUUGGUAGGCUGAGGUGGAUGGAUCACUUGAGGCCAGGAGUUUGAGAUCAGCCUGGCCAGCAUAAUGAAACCCCAUCUCUACUAAAAGUAAACACACACACACACACACACACACACACACACACACAGAAAAAAAAAAGCCAGAUAUGAUGGCACAUGCCUGUAGUCCUGGCUACUUAGGAGGCUGAGGCAUGAGAAUGACUUGAACCCAGGCUAUGGAGGUUGCAGUGAGCUGAGAUCGUGCCACUGCACUCUAGCUUGGGCAACAGAGCAAGACUCUGUCUCUAAAUAAAUAAAUAAAUAUUUUCUUUAGUGCUUAGGAUGUAGGUGAAAGGAAAACAAUCAGAAUGAUGCAGGUCAUAGUGAUGGACUAGGUUAUGUUUAAUGAAUGUUCUUUGCCAACUUAGAGUUAUGAGAAAUAAAAUAGGGGCUUUCCCUUUAUUUACCCUGGACUUCAGUGCUGGGCUGGGCACUAUGAAAUAUACACAGCCCAUCCUGUGGGUCCAGCGUAGGCUCCUUGCUCCCUGCUCCUGCCUUGCACUGUACUUUUCCUCCACAGCCCUUAACUCUUCUUCCUGGCUAGGUGAUACUCUCUAUGAAGGUAGAGACUUUCAUUUGUCUUCAUCAUGCUUCUAUUUUUGGCCAAAGGCCUUAAUAAAUAUUAUGUGAAUGAAUGAAGAAGGUUUAUAGUUUCAGAGAAAAAAAAGGACAGAGACAUGAAAUUGGUAAUAAUCUAAGCUACCUGAAUACAUUAUGUGCUCAAACACAAAAUAGUACCAGCAGUAAGUUCUCACUUUAACAAUCAGAGGCCUAUGGAUCCAUUAUGGAUUGGAGUUAUUUUUAAAGAUGGAAGUUAAAGUACUUUAUUUAAAAUGCAAAUAUUAAAUCAGAAUCUUAGCAUGCAACAACUACCUAAACAGAAGGUACUAUGUGCCAGGAACUGUUCUAGGCACUUGACAUUAAUUAGCCCCUUUAAUCCUUACAGUAGCUGUAUGAAAUAGGCCCUGUUACUAGGACCAUUGACAGGAGACAUACCUGAGGUAGAGGUCAAACUCUCUGCCCGAGGUCGCGAGUACAUGGUGAGGUGGUCGUUGAAUUUCUGUGCUCUGGCUCCAGACUCUGUGUACUCAGCCACCCUCCUGGGAGGCCUCUCACUAUACUCUGCUAACUCUCUGUGAGCUCUUCAGUGUGGCUUUAGUAUAUCAUAUACAGUAAUUUUGAGCAAAACCUUAACUUCUCCUGAAAUUACAACAGCUUUUAGAUUUUCUACUUAGGGCUAUAGUCCAAUAUUAGCAUGCCAAUCAGUAGAUGUUCUUGACUUAGUGUUAUUAAUUAGAUACAGGUGCUAAUGUGCAGCCAAGUUCAUGUAAAUUGACAAUCAAGUAGACAAACGUAGUGUUUUAAUGACAUCUUUGAGAUAUUGUGAUUUAUAAAAACCAUCAAGUACUCACAAGCAGGGUGCAUCUUAGAAAAAUCUAUGAAGUAAAAAUUAAUACUCUAAUGCCCUGGUUUUAAGCACCUUUCUUUCCCCUGUUUUGACAGUGAAGACCAGUUCUUUUUUUGUUUGUUUUUGAGAUAGAGUCUCACUCUGUUGCCAGGUGCCAGGCUGGAGUGCAGUGGCACUAUCUCGGCUCACUGCAACCUCUGCCUUCUGGGUUCCAGCAAUUCUGCCUCAGCCUCCUAAGUAGCUGGCACUACAGGUGCACGCCACCAUGCCCAGCUAACUUUUGUAUUUUUAGUAGAGACAGGGUUUCACCAUGUUGGCAAGGAUGGUCUCGAUCUCUUCACCUCGUGAUCUGCCUGCCUCAGCCUCCCAAAGUGUUGGGAUUACAGGCCACGGUGAGCCACGGUGCCCGGCCUGGUGAAGACCGGUUCUAAUCUGAAUUCUACUGGGAUCCACCAGAGGUUAUUAAGCACGGAAUGACAGCACAUAGAAUAAUAGUGCUGGGACGUCACUCUAGCUAUGGUGUCAUAUGGGACUGGGGUUGGAUGGCCAGGGAAUUGGUAAUGGGGAGGUCCAGGUUUUAAAGGUCCCAAUGAGUGGCAGUGAAUGGGGCAGCCAGAAGAGAGAUGUGGGUAGCUCUGGUAAACCCAAACUUUCUAUUGAUCAGAAGCAGCUUAUUAUAAAGAUGACAUCUUUGCCAUUUCCCAACACUUAAAUCUCAUAGGUUCAACAUCUGAGAGCUGAAAAGAAUUUAGAGAUGACCCAGCCACCUUUCCUAGCCAAUUUAUUAAAAUCUGCUAAAAAUUCCAUUCUCAUCUUUAUCUUCCAGUUCUUGGACUUCUAUUUUUACUCUUUUCUAUUUAAACUAUCUACUUAUGUCAUUGUUCUAUUACGAUUCUUCCAUCUUUAUCCCCUAGUGUGCUACAUUCUGUCUCAUAAAUCUUUCCUUAAUGGCACUUUCCACAGCCUCCUCUAUAGCUUACUCUGCCAUGAUUUUGUUUAUGUUUUGGUCAGCAAUUACUUUAUCCAGCUGAAAUCUAUCGACACUAUUGUAUAUAGAGAGAACAACUGGUGGAAUAAAGUAAGUGUUUAUUCUUCACGUUGAUAUUCGCUCUUUCACUAGGACAUCACUCGUGUUCUUUUUAAAAUUGUACUGCUUUCGGUACAGUAUUUUGGUUUGCUGUCAUUUAGGGCAGUCCAGUAUCCAAAAGGAGUGUUGCUGCUUAGAUCCUCCAGAGGGCAAUGGGGCAUCCCAGAGCAGAUCCCUUUCCUGUGGGGGACAAAGGGAGGAGGGUCUUACCUGGACUAGGUAGGGUUCUUCACUGUUGCUGGCAUCAGCCACGUGGUUUUGUUUCUUUUCAGCAGAUUCCAAGCAAUCUGCUUCUGGACCAGCUUAGGGUAAGAGAGAGUCAGCCCUGGCAUUUUGUAGGGAGGGACUGGAGCCUGAGGGCAGGCCCAGGUUGGGUUCUCUUCAUUUGUCAUUUGUGAAUGUGUUCUUUAGUCGUCAUGAAGAAUGAAUUUGGUAUAAGGAAGGAGGCCUAACAGCACCUGAUGAGAAAAGUCUUCAAACUCUUCCUAGGCCACCAACUCAUGAGACUGAUUUGUGUUACACAAUACAUUGUACUGCAUUGAUAAUAAACAUUUCCCCCCCCACAGGUUCUUAUGACCUGGUAUAUCUUAUAGGAUCAAUCCCCUAAUAAAUGUAAGGCUUGUUGUAUUUAUGUCUGUCUUAUUCAGUAUUCCAGGUUUUUAUUUUCCUAAUUAGGAAAUUUUAAUUAGGUUUUUAGUUUCCUAAUUCUGUGAUUUAAUGUAAACAUGUUUUGAAUAACAUUAACUAUUUUUGUCAAGAGUUUGAAGGCUAUUUAUUGAUCACUGAGAAUUUUAUAGUUUAUAUGUUCUAUCUCUCAUAGUCCUAAAAAUGAUCUAUUCUUUGUACAGUGGCCACAGAGACAAAAUAAAAGACAAUUGGUUUAGACAAAAAAUAAUAUGGUUUAUAUUUUAGUAAUUUUUUUUUCAGACCUGUAGUACAUUUCUGGAUCUUUCCUGCUUAUUCCCUCUCCCCAAGUCUGGAUUCCAACGCAGUUUCCCAUACCCUAAUCCAAUCCAUAAUUUCUCAUCAGACCACCGCAUAGCUACUUAAAUGUGUCCCUCCCCAAAGACUUGAACUCCAGUUCAUUCUCACAGUGAUAAUGUGAGGAAAUAUAUGCAACAUAUACAAAUGAGGGGGUUUCAUGGGUAUAAAGAACUCUUACAAAUCACCAAACACCAUGUUCACGAGCAAAACAAUAUGGGAACAGUCCUGAUGGUAAACAUCACCAAUGUUCUACUUCCCUAGAAAUGAACUAAACACAAAUUCAAACGAUGAGAUGCUGUUUAUGCCUAUCAAAUGUAUUAAAAAUAUAUUCAGCAUUGACAAAUGUUUAGGGAAUAAAAAGCUCUUAAACAUUGCCAGUUGGAGUUUAUAAUGGUGCAGCCUUUUUGGAGGGCAAUUUGGUAAUACGUAGAUGACUUUAGAAGGAAUUCCACUUCUAUGAAUUUGUCUUAAGGGAAUAAUAAGACAGUGUUCAUGAACCAUGUAUAUGUAAGACUAUGUUUGCUGAGGCUGUUUAUAGUGAUGUAAUACAGAGACCAGCCUAACCUAAGGUAUUGGUUAAAUAAUAAAAUUAGGCAUAUCUAGAUAUUAGAAUUUCAUGGAGCCAUAAAAUUACAGAGAUUGUAAAAAAUUUGUUCUGAAAAACUUCCACAAUAUUUCUUAAGUUAAAAAAGUUACAAAGCAGCAUAUGUAUGUAAUACAACCUCCUUUUGUAAGGAAGAAGUAGGUUGGGGGUUUUAUAUAGCACAGGGAAAGUUUUGGAAGACUAUGUGCCAGAAUGUUAAUGUGUUUUGCUUUUGACGGCAAAUAUAUAGGUGGUUUUAAUAUUUUUUCAUGUUUGCCUAUACUUUAUUACUAAUGACAAAGAUGUAAACAUAUCUACAUAUAUAUGGCAAAUGCAUAUAUAAAUACAUAAAAAAUGUAUCAUAAAUAUAUCAGUAUCUCUCUAGAUAUACAAACUUUUUUUUUUGAGAUAGAGUCUCCAUUGCCCAGGCUGGAGUGCAGUGGUAUGAUCUCGGCUCGUUUCAACCUCUGCCUCCUGGGUUCAAAUGGUUCUCAGUGCCUCAGUCUCCCAAGUUGCUGGGACUACAGGCAUAUGACACCACCCUGGCUAAUUUUUGUAUUUUUACUAGAUGGGGUUUCACCAUGUGGGCUAGGCUGGUCUUGAACUCCUGGCCUCAUGUGAUCCACCUGCCUUGGCCUCCCAAAGUGCUGGGAUUACAGGCAUGAGCCACCGUGCCUAGCCAUAUACUUUAAAAAAUAAUAAUAAUAAGAAAAAACACCUUUGCCCGUGUGGUCAUUGCCAUCGCAGCCACCCAAGAGGUGCUGGGGGAGGACUGUAGCCCACAAGGCUCGGGGCAGACAAUGCAGCAGCAGUGGGAGCAGCAGAGGCAGAAGCUCCAGCACUCUCUCUCUUCCCACUCAGCCUGAGCCAGGGGAGGCCAGGCAGCCCAGGUGUCUGGAGGGGGAUCUGCAGCUGGAGAAUGAGAAUUCUCUUUACCAGAAUAUGGAGACUGUUCAAUCACCAGGAGCACAGAGUUAGCACUGUUGGGCGGGAUAAUACAGGGAAAACUACCAUCUUUUGCCAGUUUUCCAUGAAUGAAGUUGUACGUACAUCUCCUACAACAGGAACUAAUUAAUGGAGAAGACAUAGUGAUUAAUAAUACACGUUUCCUAAUGUGGGAUACUGGUGGCAAGAAUCUCUUCGUUCUUCCUAGAACAUUUAUUAUACUAACACAGAGUUUGUAAUAGUUGUUGUGGACAGUACAGACAGAGAGAGGAUUUCUUUAACUAGAGAAGAACUUAUAAAAUGUUAGCACAUGAGGACCUAAGAAAAGCUGGAUUGCUGAUUUUUGCUAAUAAACAAGGUGUUAAAGAAUGCAUGACAGUAGCAGAAAUCUCCCAGUUUUUGAAGCUAACUUCUAUUAAAGAUCAUCAGUGGCAUAUCCAGGCAUGCUGUGCUCUAACUGGAGAGGGAUUGUGCCAAGGACUUGAAUGGAUGAUGUCGUGACUUAAGACUAGAUUAUCUCUACUGACCUCUCAUAGACUCUGUAUAAAUGAAGUGCUGGACUGGACCUGACAGCUGCAAAAAUGAAUGGUUUCAAUAUAUUUAUAAUAAACGGAUUUAAACUUUUUCUGUAAGAAGAAAAAUUAAGACCACUUAUUUGAAAACAAAGAUGAAGUCUCAGCUUCCAAUUUGCUUUCUCAUUAGUUUUUUCCAAAGUAAGUUAUUAAAUGUCAAUUAAAGUGAUUGACAUUUUUCUCAUAAUGAAUCCUCUCAGGACAUUGUGUAGCCUGUGGUAAGUACAAAGGGAGAGGAAGAUAUUUUGAAUUUUAAGAGCUUUAUUAUCAGUAUAACCCUCCCUGGUUGAAUGUUGUUUUCUUCUUGUUCCAUUAAGUCAAAAUACAAAUCAGCACAGAUAUUUAGUUUCCAAUAUUUUCAAAUGUAAUGUUACUUCUGAAAAGUAUUUUGCUUAACAUUGUGUGUGUAUUGUGUAUAUACCUCAAGUUCAAGUUAAUGGCUUUCAUUUAUGUUCUAAAGAAAGAGAAAUAACACAAAUAUUAAUAAUAUCCUUAGUUAUAACCAUAAUAAGUAUUGGCAUUGGUGUUAAGUGCCAUUUUCUACUUUGUCCCUAUGUUCUCUGUAUUGUACUAACCAAUCUCCCAAAUUAUUGAGCUGCUUGUUAAAAAAGAAAAAAGGGAAAAGGAAAAAGCAUGGCAUUGUGUAUCAAUUUUUUUGUUGUUGACCAGUCACACACAUGGAAACAUGUAAUUCAAGAGAGUGGGAUAGCACUCAGAUUCUUGGCUUCAUACUAUUAACGGGCGGGAUUGUACAAUGAGCAACUAUCAGAGUAUUCCUUUCAGUGGUUUUUAUGGCAUCUAAAUUACUGAAUAAAUUAUUAAUCCAUUAAUCAGUGAAUCAUUUUAUGAUUAAAAUUAUCAAAGGAAUUCUCAGCAUUAAUUGAAAAGUAUGCGUGAAACAUGUCUACCCAGAAAAGUAACAUUCUAUAAGUACUAUUCAACAACUUAGCUAUGUUAUUUUUAAAUAUUAAAUUAUUUGUCAAGCAGUUAAAGUGAAUUUUAAAAUAAAAGUAAAGUAUGUUUCUGAGCAACUUUGAUAAUUUCUUAGUUUGCAAAUUUCUUCUUAUUUUGGUACUUAACAUAUAGUGUGAUAUAUUUUAUUUCUAAAUUUUGUUGUAUCUUCUGUUACAUAAAUGCAUUGUUUGACAAAAAUGCAAGUUUUCUGAAUGAUUAAAAAAAGAAAAAAGAAAAAAAAUGGAUUAUUCUCCAGAGGUUGAGAGCUAGGACUUCAUGUGUUGUUUUCUUUUUCUUGGUGAGUGAGGAUGUUGUAGUAAACUUGAGAGGAGGAAGUAAAAGUCUAGAUAGGUGCAUGGCUGUGUACUGUAGUGUUUUUGUUGUUUUCUGAUAAAUGUAUCAUAAUUUACAGAAAUAUAUGACCUUUCAGAUUCACAAUAGAAUGAGAGAAAAAUACAUGUAAAGUAAUUAUAAUUUAAUAUGUACUGUUAUUUAAUUUCCUGUUUAACUGUACAUCUUUAAAAUGCUUUUAUUCUUUUCAAGCAAUAUAUGAUCACAGCUUAAAAAAUAUCAACAAGUGUUGAAUUCUAGCAACAAAAAAAAUCAUCCUCCUGUCUCACCUUUCUGUGUCCCUGGACCUACUUUCAAAGGGAGAAAUCUCCGGGAAAAUUAUACUGAUAUUUUUAGUGCCAUAUUUCUAUUAUGAAUACAUUGCUGUUUUUUAAUUGAUCAACUUGGGACAUUUUUCUAUUGCUUCCUGGUGCUUGUAGACAGGAUGCAGCUCUUCUAUCUCACUGUGACCACCACUUCCCUUAGCUCCCUAAUAUAACUAUACUGGUUAAAUCAAGUAAUGUGCACAUCAGUGCUACGUAAAUAUUGUUCAUGGUUUAGGUUAGUAGUACACUAUGACUGUUUUCUUUUUUGAUGCUCUCUUUGUUUGUCCUAGACUUAAUUGCCUUUUUUAUUUGCAUAGUUUUUAUGCAUUUAGGAAACAAUAAUGCUUUAAAAAGUUGUGCCAAACAAUUUAAAAUUUUUUCAAAAUCUUAACACAGCAAAAUUCCAUUCUAAUUCCAUUUUUUUUUUUCCUGAAGACAGUUCUCUCUUCUAACAUGGACUGGUUGUUCUUAGCCCAGCUCUGUGUGUGUGUGUGUGUGUGUGUGUGUGUGUGUGUGUGUGGUCUUAGGAUUAGAACUAUAUAGUUUGAUUCGAUAACUCUUCUCUAUAUUCUUCAGUUAGAUUCAUCAUUUUAUUGGAUUUCAUGUUAUCUUUCCUUUUUUUCUAAAGAGCAUAUCCUGUAAUAGUUUUCUCAGAAAGAUUGUAUGGGAGGUAAAUUUUUUGUAUCUGUUUUACCUGUAUACUUACCUGAGAAGUUGCGUUUUUGAAUUACAGGUUGAGAAUCCUUUUUUUUUUUUUUAAGUAUUUUGAAGGUGUUUCUGGUGGGAAACAUAAAGAUCCUCCUAGUUGGAGGAACAAGUAAGCUUUCCUGGUUUUCAAAAUCCUACCAAAGCACCCAGUGACAAUGAAACUGAUGGUGGUAAGGAUCCUGUCAGGUCCUCCUAGAAGCAAAAGUUUGGCCAGUCUCAUAAGGGCGUACAUGCUUUUUAGCCUCACCUCAUAUUCAGGAAACUCUGGCUAUGUGCUAAGUAACUGGUAACAUCCCAACCCGUUGAGUACUUACUGCAGCCGGUGAGGCUAAGCUCACCUUCUCAGGUGCACCAUCCCACUAGCAAGCCUAGCCGUCAGACCUGCCGGAUUUCUAUUCCUGCAGACUUUCUUGGAUGGUAAUGAGUUCCUCCCCCGUUGGGGUUGUAUGGAUGGAAUUGAAUGGUAAAAUUGAUUCCUGAAGAUUUUUUAGAAGUGCAACUUGAGACUCUAAGAGAAUCCUGUGGCAUGAAGUCUCCAUGAUCCUGUAACUGUUGAGCUGGUAUUCUUCUUGGCCAGAUGACCUGUUCUGGGAUCUUGAGCUGCAGCACUUGUAGCCAUUCUUUAAGAGAUUGCCUCUCGGAAGUUUUGUCCUUAUUCUUUCUUCCCACUGGCCCUGUGCCUUGCCUUCCCUUCCCUCCCCUCCCCUCCCCUCCC